rnacentral:lncRNA from 1 species
UCUCUACCAUUGGAUCUUGCUGAAAUCAAAUCCUGACCUUCUAAACUCACAAUAAUAACUGCUAUGGUAGCAGUUGACGGCAGUUUCUUACGGUUCCCCUCUGGCGGUUACUUCCACUUUUUUCUGCCCAUCAUCUCCACAACUCAACCUCCUACAAAACUAGGGUAGUGCUCACAAUUCCAGUUCGCCCGUUGGUUGUCUCAGGUCUCCUCCUCACCCAUAAAACUGUCACCCCAUCUCCACAAAACAACAUGCAAAAGUGGAGAGAUUAGAGGUCAUCUUCUCCUUCACACGCCGUAUGCACCUCACCCGUCGCCGUCGGUACAAUCAACGUCGUUCUAAAAGUUCAAGACGUGAUUUCAAAAGCAGAUAAUGGUCCCUCAGUCUUCAUCUACCUCUCCCUUUUGUCUGAAUCCCUCUCCUCUGAAUCAAUCGAAGGAAGUGUUGAAGGAUGAUGAAGAACAAUAAGUGGGCACUACAAGAACAGGCGCUUUUUGAAAUGCUACAGGCUCUAAGAGAAGCCGGGAUGCUGAACUUCAUAAUUUGUCUGAAAUACAUAAUUCCUCAAGUUUAGGCAGUCGGUAUUCUCUUAAUUAUUAGUGUUUACAUUUAGCAAUUUGUUAAUUUGUAUACAGUAGGUAGUCUUUGUUCAAUAUAGGCACUCAGAAGUUUGAUGAAUAAAGUUUCGGGUAAUUUAAAAAAUUCCGAAUGAUUAGGUUACAGGUCAGUUAUGCCUGACCUGUAUUUUCGUGGUUCUUUUUUAUUAUGUUACUUAACAAUGGUAUUAAAUAAUCUUCAUAACGUCUUAGCAGUUCGGUGAUUCCUCAAUUCAGGUUUAAUUAUUGCUGAAAUUUCUAUUUCUGUCAACGCAGAUUUACUAUUUGUUAUACUUUAGGUGUAACUGCAUUCAAGUUUUCCUUUUUAGUGAGUGACCAGCGAUUAAAACAUCUGAAGCUUGCUAUUCGACACAAGUUGUGUGUUAAUCAAGGGUGUCUACAAGUUCCGUUGUCGAACAUAGCUUCUGUACUUUGAUCAUAUUGUUUUGUUGUUAACAAUGGAAACCUCACUUAUAUGAAGUUAGACAGGAGUUGAAGCGUGGACCAUCUAUCAAAUAAGCUAUUUAUCAGCAACGGCUACAUGUGCCAUUGAAUAAAGAUUUGAAUCUUCUGGUGGAUUUAUCAAGUCGCUCGCCUGUGACGUCGAUUGGACGAAUCACCCUUUGGCUUCUGGUGCAAUGAGAUCUCGUGGAGCUAGGGUUACUGAUAACAUAAUUAUCAUAGUGUUUGUAGAUGACGUGAUAUGUCCACAAACAACUAAGGCCAUGCCAAAUCAGCCCGAGUGCCAAUAAUUUUUGCUAUUACUAGGAUAGAUAAGGAAGGGGCUUUAGAUCGAGUAAUGCAAGUUAAGCAGGAGCUUUCUUAUAAUGGUUGUCAACUAGAAGAUUGGGGGUGGUGAUGUACCUAUGGUUCAGCAAGAAUGUUGAUGAUUUGUUAGAACUCACUAUGCGUGUUGCCGAGCUAGGUAAAGUUAUUUACUGACUAUUGCAUGUAAAUUAUUUAUUUACCUUUUUUUUGCUUGGGGGAGAAGAGAGGGUUACUUUCAAUCCAUUUGGCCCGCUUCGCAACUAUGCGGGUCAAAUUUUAUCUAAGGUAUGUAGCACAUCUUUAAUAAUAUACAACUUUAAUUACUUGAGAUACAAGUCAAUAAAGGAGUUUGCUCAAGAUUUAGGAGCAACGGAGUUGUUGCUCGUGUAAAGGUAUUUAAGUUUAACUUCAUUUAUAUGUAUAUAUUAUUUGGAGGUUCUACAUUUGUCUUCAGUUUUCUUGAUUAUUAGCUGCAAGAAUUAAAGGCUAAUCUCGAUAGAAAUGCAAAGGUUAUCGUAAUUGAAGCAGGUCUCAUCAAUCAAAAGGACCCGUAGCUACUUUAUUUUUUUUGCAAAAUGACACACUUAAAAAGGGAGAUGUGGUUGUAUGUAGUGAAGCCUUUGGAAAUGUUGGUAAAAGAAACAAUAGUUAAUUCAGCAAAAUACUAUUUUAAAAAUCUCAGACUUUAAAACAUUUGCACUUUGAUUAGAUUCAUCUUUAUUUGAUGGCUCAAAAGCUAAACUUUACAUUUUUAGGUCUGAGCUUUAUUUCAUGAUGCUGGAAAGCAGGUUUGAUGAUGUUGGGCUGGCAAUACCAGUACAAGUGAAUUUAGCUACAAUUAUUUGGUUCUUGUCUAUUACAACCCAUAAUAAAAAUUACACAUCCAACCCGACCCGUUUGACCCGCUUUAACCCAAAUCCAUUUGACCUGGCUCAACCCACCCAAUUUGACCCACUAGAAAUUGAUCUGUUCCCAAUUCGAUCCUGUUUGUGUUGUCAAAAUGAACUGUUGUAACCUAAAUCCAUUUGACCCUUGUCAACUUGAGCCCAUUUGACCUGUUUCAACCCAAACCUGUUUGACCUAUUCAAGAAUUGACCCGUUUAAACCCGACUCUAUUAGACUCAUUCAUGAUUUAGAUAAUGAUUCAUUUCAACCCGAAUCUUUUUUAGCUAGAAAAGAUUACCUUUUUCAACUUGAAACACCUCUGACCCUGUGUAGAAAUGCAUACUUUGCAGGUGAUCGGAUUAAACAGUGUCCCAUUUGCGGUGACAAAUUUAAGGUAGUUGACUCACUUGAUAUUGCACGAGAAAGGGCAAAAGAACGGGCAAUCAUCAUGUGAUGAACGUAUACUAGCUAAAGCUGGAACGGUAGAAUUACGCUUUCGUACUUCGCUUCUGUUGUUACAACGGGCAUGAAUUCAAGAGCAACUGCUUUGUUUAUGUCGAUCGGGUCGAGCAACAUGUCAAAACAUGUUAGGGCUAAAAUGGGCAUUUCUUCUGUACAUCCUGAAAUGGGUUGGGUUGGUUUGACUCAAACAUGCUCUUUGCAUUGUUUUUAUUUAAGAAAUAGGAUAGACUUUUAGCCAUUUUCUAGAUCAGCAUCCUAUUGUACUUCAUAUUGGUGGGAAUAACUUGGAAAUUCUAGCAAAGCAACUCAACUAGCAAACGGAUACGGUUAUUGAUGUUGUUUUCCGCAGUGGUGAUGAAUCAGAGGAUGAUAAUCGGUUCAGACUUCAGAUGUAAUACAAAAAACUCCACCGUUCGUGACAAUAUGAGCUUAACUGGCCCAUCUUCACGGUUACAGAUGAUAAGGAUAUACGAAGAGUCGGGAUGGUAGUUAGAGAUUGAGAGACUCUGGGAUACAGUUUUGAGAGGAUGUCAUGCUGAUGACUUAUGAAAAUAGGAAGAAAACUCAUUUAAUUUCCCUUAGCAUUAGUUACUUAAUUCUAUUACUGUUAGAUAAUUUUUAUCUUUGUAUUAUAUUUGAAUUGAAUGAAUUGAAUGAAUGAAUGAAUUUGAAUUGAAUUGA